rnacentral:rRNA from 1 species
GAGCAGUAGGGAAUCUUCCACAAUGGACGAAAGUCUGAUGGAGCAACGCCGCGUGAGUGAAGAAGGUUUUCGGAUCGUAAAACUCUGUUGUAAGGGAAGAACACGUACGAGAGUAACUGCUCGUACCUUGACGGUACCUUAUUAGAAAGCCACGGCUAACUACGUGCCAGCAGCCGCGGUAAUACGUAGGUGGCAAGCGUUGUCCGGAAUUAUUGGGCGUAAAGCGCGCGCAGGCGGUCCUUUAAGUCUGAUGUGAAAGCCCACGGCUCAACCGUGGAGGGUCAUUGGAAACUGGGGGACUUGAGUACAGAAGAGGAAAGCGGAAUUCCAAGUGUAGCGGUGAAAUGCGUAGAGAUUUGGAGGAACACCAGUGGCGAAGGCGGCUUUCUGGUCUGUAACUGACGCUGAGGCGCGAAAGCGUGGGGAGCAAACAGGAUUAGAUACCCUGGUAGUCCACGCCGUAAACGAUGAGUGCUAAGUGUUAGGGGGUUUCCGCCCCUUAGUGCUGCAGCUAACGCAUUAAGCACUCCGCCUGGGGAGUACGGCCGCAAGGCUGAAACUCAAAGAAUUUUGACGGA